rnacentral:rRNA from 1 species
UACGUAGGGGGCAAGCGUUGUCCGGAAUCAUUGGGCGUAAAGCGCGCGCAGGCGGUCCUUUAAGUCUGCUGUGAAAGCCCACGGCUCAACCGUGGAGGGUCAUUGGAAACUGGGGGACUUGAGUGCAGGAGAGAAGAGUGGAAUUCCACGUGUAGCGGUGAAAUGCGUAGAGAUGUGGAGGAACACCAGUGGCGAAGGCGACUCUUUGGCCUGUAACUGACGCUGAGGCGCGAAAGCGUGGGGAGCAAACAGG